GUGAGAUAACCAGCUUCACGGGUAGGUUAGCUCUUGACUGUCAGGAUUUCUGUUCUCUGCCCAAUAGAGCAGGGGCUGAAAAAUAUUUCACAAUAAUCAUCACAAUGGAGGAACCCUGCAGGAGCUGGCUGUUAUUUGACACCAGGCCCUGAGAUGAGCAUUGCAUGAAGAUCAUCUCAUUUACUUAUGUGCCAGGGUAGGCAGGCCCUUGAAAAAAAUCCCCGCAGUUCCUUUCAUCCAGAGCUUGGGUAGAGAAACCAGAGAUGGCUUCCUGGAUGAGGCAGAUCGAGAACCGGAUCACGUAGAGUAAAAACUGGAAAAAAUUUGUGGAACCCGGAAAAGAGUGUGUGCAGGUAAGCGAAGGCAUAGAGGUGGGAACAAGAGACAUGGUGUAGGUGGAGAAUUUGUGCUGUGGAGAA